ensembl:lncRNA
GUGGAGUCUACUCUUCGUCCAUCCGCUGCUCUUUUUCAUCCAGAUUAAGUUGCCUGCUCCUGACUGACGGCCUUUAAAACAAUUUGAGCGAGUCAGGUGGCCUGGGAGAUAGGAAACGGAGCAGCAUGCCCUGCAGAAGUUCGGUCAUCACAGCAGAUGCCCAAGGGAGUUCUAGAGUGUUCUGCAGGAGGAACAGGCCAGGAGGCAACGUGAGGCUAUUCCAAGAAAAGAGCAAAGAAUUGAGCAAAGGCC